AGCGAACGCGACCUCCGACUGCUCCUUCGAAACCGGCGUUUCCAUGGAAUUUCGACCUCCGGAAAACAGGGGUUUGUCCCGUUUGCGAGCGGGCUUUUUUUAUCCACGGGGGCUUUUCCGGCCCGCAGGAAUGGCGGACGCGGCCCCCGCCUGUUCCUUCGGACCCCCGGAACUGGCGUUUCCGCGGAUUUCCGGCCGCCGAAAGCACGGGUUGCGUGCCCGCCUGGACUCAUGCACGCAAAACAUUCGGCCGCAACAGCGGAUCGCGGCGCGCAAUCGGCAACAACUGGGCCGGAGAGAGGCCCGGAUUGCGCAUGUGCCACAGACGGUCUGAACGACGCAUAGGCCGACUGAAAUAGCUGCUCUGAAGAGAUGCUGUCA
rnacentral:lncRNA from 1 species